UUUAAAUGGCCGCAGUACCUUGACUGUGCUAAGGUAGCAUAAUCAAUUGGCUUCUAAUUAAAGUCUAGAAUGAAAGGAAGUAUGAGGUAAUUCUGUCUUAAAAGAUUUUUUUUUAAUUUAUUUAAAUGAUGAAAAUAUCAUUUAUUAGAAAAAAGACGAGAAGACCCUUAGAGUUUAAUUUUUUUAAUUUUGUUGGGGCGACAGGUAAACAUUUAAACUUUACUAUUUUUAUAAAUCGAUUUUUAAUAAAAAUAUAAAAACUACCUUAGGGAUAACAGCAUUAUAUUUUUAUAUGAUUGUGACCUC
rnacentral:rRNA from 1 species